rnacentral:rRNA from 1 species
GCGGAGGAAAAGAAACUAACAAGGAUUCCCCUAGUAACGGCGAGUGAAGAGGGAAGAGCUCAAAUUUUAAAUCUGCCUUGUUCCAAGGUCGAGUUGUAAUUUGAAGAAGCGUUUUCUUGGGCUCGCGGCCGGUAGAAGUUCUUUGGAACAGGACAUCAUAGAGGGUGACAAUCCCGUCCGUGACCGGUCGUGCGUUCAUCUACGAUACGCUUUCAAAGAGUCGAGUUGUUUGGGAUUGCAGCUCCAAACGGGUGGUAAACAUCACCUAAGGCUAAAUAUUGGCGAGAGACCGAUAGCGAACAAGUACCGUGAGGGAAAGAUGAAAAGAACUUUGAAAAGAGAGUUAAACAGUACGUGAAAUUGUUGAAAGGGAAACGAUUGAAGUCAGUCGUGCUGGCGCGAAAUCAACCCUCUCGUCUUGAGAUCACAUGGCGCGACGAGCCUCAAAACCGUCACGAAGCGUGAACUCUUGACGAAAAGGUGCACUUUCGUGUCCGCUGGUUAACAUCAAUUUCGAACGUCAUAAAAAGGCUGGAGGGAUGUGGCUCCUUCGGGAGUGUUAUAACCUUUAGCGGAAUGUGGCGUUCGGGAUUGAGGAUUGCAACGAAUACCUUCAGGGCUGUUCCACCUGGCUUCUCAUUGGUAUCCUGGUGACGACAGCUUGCUGACGUCGUUAGGAUCAGCUUCUGAACAGGCUAGAGUGUGAGCAAAUUCGUUAAGGAUGUUAACGUAAUGGCUUUAAACGACCCGUCUUGA